AAAUGGAACAUCACAAGGGUUUCAAUGUCUCUCUCUCUUUGAUGAUGACGAUGAUGAAGGCCGAAUCCAAAUCCUACACUCCCCUCAACUAUUUCAGAACCUUUGUCUACAAAGGACUACCGUCGGACUCGUCAGAAUGGCGAUCUCGAACGGGCUGAUUGCGCAAUUUGAGAUAUCUCUUCUUUGUGGUUCUGCAAAGUUGAUUCUCUAUCACUUCUCUCUGAAUCCAUGCGAAAAUUAACAGAAACAUGAAGUCCUCUUCCCGAUAUUCUCUUUUGUGUUGUUUUAGCAGCUUUGUUGCUAAAAACACUAGGAUGUAUGCAUUCUCCUGUGGAUGCAUCCAUAGCAGAUCUGAAGGGAGAAAUUCCCACUCCAACUUGAUCGUGUUCUUCAUCGUGCCUUAUAACCCGGUCUUGACUUGCAUGCCCUCUUGCAGAGACACACUCUUCGACCAUCUCUUUUGUGAAGGAGGUUCUUGGUCUUUGGCUUGAAGUGUUUUCCUCCUUUUGCUCUUAGCCUUGGCAUCCUUUUCAACAUUUUCUUGAACAGAGACCUGACACAGAUCAUUUUUGCCCUAAUUUUUCUCUCUAUUUCUGUUCAAAUGUAAGUAUGAUAUAAUCAUCUUCAAUGUGGGUUUCUUGGGUUACUGGUACUAGUCUUAACUGUGCACUUUAUGUGUUUGUUUAAUUGACUGAAUGGUGUGUUUGUUGGAAUUACAAAAUAAAUUUGUCAUGUAGUGGUUUAAAUGUAUUAUAAUAUAUAUUCAGCAAGAAAUGGCUGCUUAAAAUUAAUUAUCCAAUGCAUUGCAUAAGUCCAACACUAGUUUUUAAGACUUUGCAAAUUGUUUUGUUGAUAAAAGCUUUUGGUGUGUUCCAUAGAUUUGCGAUCAAAUUAGGGGAAAAAGAACAUCUUUACAUGUUUGUUUUGCAUUUCUUAGUUGACCAUCAUGUGCAGCAGCAUUAUAAUAUUUGAGCAUAGCCCAAGAUACUAUAACCUCUCCAUAUGCAGCAGCAUAAUAAUUUUCAGCAUAGUACAAUGAAUUUGAGAAGCAUAUACUACAAGCCACAUUAUUUGCGGACCUACCUUCCUAAAAAAAACAUUGUUUAUUUUAGUUGUUGUUAAAAUUAUUAUAAUUUUAUUUGGUAAGGUGAUUGUUUUCUUGGAAAGAACAUGCCUAUGAGUUCUGCUCACAUGGAACCCAACUUGCCUUUUUCUCUAGUUUUGGAGGCUUACGGGAUCUCAUACUAAUUAUGUGAUACAAAGAAUGCUCCAAGAUUUUUCAAUAUGAAUACAAAAAAGAAAAAAAAGUCAUUUGCAUGGAACUUAAGAACUUUAGAAAAGUAAUAAAUAAUAAUCAUAGAAAACAAAAACAAAGAAAAAAAAACUUGGGUUUUGGUUAAAGGCAAGAAAGGCUUGUGGAACAUAUUAUUGAAAGUGAAUGACAUAUGAUAUAUCAGAUAUGUAAUUUAAGAACCUAGGUUCCUUUUAUAGAUAUAAUUUGGAAAAGACAUAUGAUAUAUCAGGCAUGUAAUUUAAGAACCUAGGUUCCUUUUAGGAGGUACAAAUGAUGCUAGUGCAUAUGAUAAUUAGCCACAACUACCAUGUGAAAAAAUAUGUAUAUCCUUGUUGAAGUUUGAUAUUCUCUUAUGUGCUUUAAUUGGUGUUAUGUUCAUCAAUGCAGUUGAGUACAUUGUGCCGUUUUCUUGCCUUUUGUGUUAUACUUGAAAACGAAUUGAAAAUCAUUAAAUUCUUUGUACCCUUUUCUUGACUUCAAAUGUAAUUGGAAUGCUUGUGUAUGUUACGAAAUGAUAUCCCAGUUAAUGGACCUAGUUUGGCUGUGGCAACCCCUAGAACUGUAAUAAUCCAUGAUAGUAUGAAUUAACUGAGAAAAUAAUGUUAUAUUCUUCCUAGAUUUCAAGAAUCCCAUGCAUUAAAAAAAUAACUAAAAAAGAGGAUAAUAGAUGAGCAGAAUAUUUUUAAUGUCAACUUAUAAAAUGUUAAAUUACUGGUGCAUACAAAUGAGAUCAAGUGAUAAAUAGAUACAAAAUAGGUCAAGACUUUUGAGGGAAAUUAGUGAAAUUACUAAUAAGAUUACAGAUGAUAUUGCUGACU